UAUGAAAUUGAUGAUAAUAUAGUUCAUCUGAACUAAUUUUAGUUAUGAUAGUAAAAAUCUAUCUAUUUUCGCCCCUAUCUGAAUUUCGUG